UAGGUUCUAGUUUUAAGCAAACUUCGC
rnacentral:sRNA from 1 species